ACGGAAGGCAGCAGUUGGGAAUCUUCGGCAAUGGGGGCAACCCUGACCGCGCAACGCCGCGUGAGUGAAGAAGGUUUUCGGAUCGUAAAGCUCUGUUGUAAGAGAAGAACGUGUGUGAGAGUGGAAAGUUCACACAGUGACGGUAACUUACCAGAAAGGGACGGCUAACUACGUGCCAGCAGCCGCGGUAAUACGUAGGUCCCGAGCGUUGUCCGGAUUUAUUGGGCGUAAAGCGAGCGCAGGCGGUUUAAUAAGUCUGAAGUUAAAGGCAGUGGCUUAACCAUUGUUCGCUUUGGAAACUGUUAGACUUGAGUGCAGAAGGGGAGAGUGGAAUUCCAUGUGUAGCGGUGAAAUGCGUAGAUAUAUGGAGGAACACCGGUGGCGAAAGCGGCUCACUGGUCUGUAACUGACGCUGAGGCUCGAAAGCGUGGGGAGCAAACAGGAUUAGAUACCCUGGUA
rnacentral:rRNA from 1 species